GACGAACGCUGGCGGCGUGCUUAACACAUGCAAGUCGAGCGAUGAAGCUCCUUCGGGAGUGGAUUAGCGGCGGACGGGUGAGUAACACGUGGGUAACCUGCCUCAUAGAGGGGAAUAGCCUUUCGAAAGGAAGAUUAAUACCACAUAAGAUUGUAGCUUCGCAUGAAGCAGCAAUUAAAGGAGUAAUCCGCUAUGAGAUGGACCCGCGUCGCAUUAGCUAGUUGGUGAGGUAACGGCUCACCAAGGCGACGAUGCGUAGCCGACCUGAGAGGGUGAUCGGCCACAUUGGGACUGAGACACGGCCCAGACUCCUACGGGAGGCAGCAGUGGGGAACAUUGCACAAUGGGGGAAACCCUGAUGCAGCGACGCCGCGUGAGUGAUGAAGUAUUUCGGUAUAUAAAGCUCUAUCAGCAGGGACGAAAAAAGACGGUACCUGACUAAGAAGCCCCGGCUAACUACGUGCCAGCAGCCGCAGUAACAC
rnacentral:rRNA from 1 species